rnacentral:misc_RNA from 1 species
UUUCGCAUUUAUUUUUGCUCAGACGCCACGUAAGAAGAAUUUAAAAGCCUCUGGCGGGCGCUCGCCAGUAAACCGGCGGCGGAGGCCGCGGCCCGCCAAAGCAACGAUGAUAGUUCGCACAGGGUGGAGAUGCUCCGAAGAGACAAACUCGAUAAUGAUCCUUCCGCAGGUUCACUAGAAAGAUAUUAGCACAGGAUCUCCCCAGAAGCUUGACGAGGUAAGAAAAUCGAUCCUACCUACCCUACGAAAA